GCCAGGCGUGGUGGCUCAUGCCUGUAAUCCCAGCAUUUUGGGAGGCUGAGAUAGGUGGAUCACCUGAGGUCAGGAGUUUGAGACCAGCCUGACCAACAUGGUGAAACCCUGUCUCUA
rnacentral:SRP_RNA from 1 species